UACAGAGGGGGCGAGCGUUGUUCGGAAUUACUGGGCGUAAAGCGCACGUAGGCGGACCAGCAAGUUAGGGGUGAAAUCCCGGGGCUCAACCCCGGAACUGCCUUUAAAACUGUUGGUCUGGAGGUCGAGAGAGGUGAGUGGAAUUCCGAGUGUAGAGGUGAAAUUCGUAGAUAUUCGGAGGAACACCAGUGGCGAAGGCGGCUCACUGGCUCGAUACUGACGCUGAGGUGCGAAAGCGUGGGGAGCAAACAGG
rnacentral:rRNA from 1 species